ACAUGGAUUUGGAUUUAUGACAGGCUCAUCCCAGUGGGCCUCUCAUAGUGAUCCAUGCUAGAGCAAACUGAGGCUCCUCACCAUUGCCCAGCCCCCAUGCCUGUAGACUGCUGGCACUGAAGUGGGUCACACAGUG